GCGGGCGUCGUUUGUGAGACUGGACUACUUAGCAGAUGUAUAAGGCCACCCGUAUCAUGGCGCAUGACGAUGAGAGGUUGGAGGGUGACCCCAAGCACGACCGACAGUUUCGGGGAUCGAAGAGACGAUCCUUAAUGACAAAACUCCUGUUUUAUCAACUGCGACGAGUCUCAAAGCGGUCUGCCAUCUGUUCGGUUUUCGUAGUACGCGAGAAUUUGUUUACAGCAGUGAUAGGCUCCAGGUAGUCAAAAGUACAGCGCACUAUUCUAGGACUGAACGAAGCGGGAUCUGCCUACGGCGGCACCAGAAGCAAAUAUUCCGCUUAUGCGGCUAGCUAUCCCUAACUUGUAGCAGGCCGCAAAUUAAACGGUGGACCAGGAACUUAGCAGAUUGCCCUGCUUUAGCAUAGAACAGUUUCAACCCACGAGGGCUAAGUGUCGGUGCUGAUGAGUCGGAACGGUCACGUAAAGACAGACUGCAAUGUUGUUCAUUAAGCAGCGGAGGCUCAUAUUGCGAUCAUUCCCCCAUGAUAGACGCUCUAUGUAUUCCGUUUCCAUCAUCAAAUACUUCGCAUACGAGAGGACCAAUCAUAAAUUCCCGGUUCAGCGUAGAGUCGCCCAAAUGCUGCAUGCUUGAAAAAAUAGUAGUUUGUUAUGUUCAUCCAGCAGAAUACAGUGUUGUUUCUAAAAAGAAUGCAUGCGACGGUUCGAAUUGCUUUGUUCCAAGCACAGAUUGAGAGGG
rnacentral:lncRNA from 1 species